UCCCGGCAGCCAGAAGACAUGCAGCUGGGGAGUCCACAGCUCUUGAAGUCACAGCAAAGGAUUCAGCUGUCAGAUCCCGUGGAUAACAUGGCUCCUCCACUUCUGCUUUGACAUCUUUGGAGUUUCCGGGUGCAAAAGACAUUGGCAAGCAGAUAUCUCAAAGCCAGUGAUGUUCCACUAGCCCUCCUGGAGUGUCAUUGUGUACACAUUAUCCAAAAACUCAGGAAGGCCAGGAGGCAAAGGAGGUUUUGUCAGACCCCUCUGCCUCAAAACAGUCUGGGUGUUGGUGUUUGCAGCACAAGCACAGAUAACCAUCCCCUGGGACAGCCCAUUUCUGUGGGAUUGGGAUCCAGCUCUUCAGAUCGAAGGUCACUGAGUGCUCAGACCAGCUGGAUCAAGGCUGUUCCCUCUGCAUGGCAGAGAAGGAUUUUCCCCUUGCUCAUGCCCUCCUCACCACUUGCGUAGAGGGCUCAGUUAGGCUUUGGAUCAGACCCCCUCCCUGAAGAAUAACAACUGUAACUUAGGUAUUAGAGACUGCUCAAAGAAGUGACGGGAGAUGGAAGAGCCCAAGCAGCGGCCUUUGUUAUUGCUACCCAGUGAGGAGUUUGGGAAGAGCUGUUCUAAGUAAUCACGCUUUGUUAUUAAUUGCUGCCUGCCCUGGUGUGUUCAUCCUAGUUUGGGCUUCAAAAUACAGCUGAUCGCCUCUGUUCUGCAGCAGGAAAGAUGUCUGUUAAUAUCAUAUACUCAGUCAGAUCCGAUAAUCUGAGGGAAGAUCGAGGGCAGAGGAACAAGCCUGCAGAUUUCUACCUAGACUUCUCCCUGGGGACAACUGAACUUCAAGUCACCAGAAGCGGCACAUCCUCAGGAUCUUUCAGGACCAUGUCCACAUUUCCUCAGGAACCCUUUAACAAGGCAGCUGGCAUCAGACAGCUCAGUUCCUGUGGUCAGUGA
rnacentral:lncRNA from 1 species